GUGUUCCCUUUGGCAUCACAUAUACUAACACUGGAAUGACACAGAGGUUAGCAUGGCCCCUGUGCAAGGAUGACAUGCAAAGUCAUGAAGCAGUCCAUAUUUUC